GGGAGACCUAGAAGACGGUAACCGUAUAGGAGCCGGUUUAAGGGUAAAACUGGUAACUGGGGCU
rnacentral:rRNA from 1 species